GGGGGCUAUGGCCUUGAUGGGGUCCAGUGGACGGGAACAAGACUCCCCGCAGCGCAGGAUAUGACGGCCAACAGUGGCGCGACUCCUCGAGGUGGCCAGUGGCUUUUUUUGUCCAAUAUUUUGUUUAUUAAUCAGUUACUAGGGCGGGUGAGGGGUGACCCGUCCCUGCAAAUUUUAAUUUCAAGAGCUGGUGAUGCCAUCGCCCGCCUGAAACGGCAUUUGCAGGGGCAGCUCGACACACGCUCCUACAAACAGCUACUUUUAGCUAAGAAAAGCACACACCCACCCUGGAAGUUCGUUUUUAACCGCCCUUGAAAAGCAUGUUUUGGUAGUGCAAGCUACAUAAUAAGAGCCUGUUUGUAUCACGUGAAACUCACCAAAAGUUUGCAAAAGCACAACAUUGGAGUGAAUAAACAGAACAAUUUCUACAACAACCUGUUCCAAGCAGAUUUUACUCACUCAAAUGACUUCCUUAUAAGUUCCUCGCCUAUUCCACAGAUCAUUCCCUCAUCCCAUACUUUUGUAACUUUAUUUCCAUUUGCUACUUCAAUUCAGUGACCUGCUUGAC
rnacentral:lncRNA from 1 species